UCGUCUUCUGGCGCGGAUGCCCCGCCGGA
rnacentral:sRNA from 1 species